UACAGAUGCAACAUAAGUAAUAUUCGGUAAGAUUAAUGAUUUAACAAGAGUUAUCUUACCUAACAUAGUUAAAUUUCUUUUAUUCCAAUCUUUAAUUAUUUUUUCAGAUUUUUCGUAUUGUCGUUGCAAGUUUAAUUUUUUACACUCAUUUUUAUUAAGUCCAAAGUAUAUUCCCAAAACUUUUAUAGGUUUUUGUGUAAAAUUAAUGUUUUCAACUUUAUCUUUGCAGGACUUUAAAUUGCCGAGCCAUAUUCCUUCUGUUUUAUUUCGGUUAAGCUUUAGGCCUGAAAGUGAUCCAAAAAUUUCUAUAAUAUUCAGAGUUAAUGACACUUCUUGUUUUGAAUUUAAAAAUAAAGUGGUGUCGUCUGCAAGCUGGCUUAAUUUUAAGGUAUGGGUUUUAUUAUCUAGUUUAAUUUGAAAACCUUUAAAAUUUUUAUUUUGUCUUAAUCUACUAGCUAAAAUUUCAACAGCAAUUACGAAAAUUAUAGAACUCGCGGGACACCCUUGACGGAUUCCGCGCUCAAUGUUGAAGGGUCUUGAAAUCCAGCCAUUAUUUAAUAUGCAACCCUUUAUAUCUGUGUAUAAAGUAUUUAUCCACCUCAAAAGAGAUUCCUGGAAGCCAAAUUUCUUUAAAGAACAAUACAUAAAUUCCCAUUCUAGCGAGUCAAAUGCCUUUGUGAAGUCUAAAAAUAAGAUAGCUCCAUCUACAUUGAAUUUUUCCGAAUAAUCUAUAAUAUC
rnacentral:lncRNA from 1 species